AACGAACGCUGGCGGCGUGGAUAAGACAUGCAAGUCGAGCGGGAUUUCCAGGGUAGCAAUAUUCUGGAGGUUCAGCGGCGCAAGGGUGCGUAACACGUGGGUAAUCUGCCGUGAAGCCCGGGAUAACUCGCUGAAAGGCGAGCUAAUACCGGAUGUGACGUUGGGAGGGCAUCCUCCUGACUUUGAAGCUGGGGACCGUAAGGCCUGGCACUUCACGAUGAGCCCGCGGCCUAUCAGCUUGUUGGUGAGGUAACGGCUCACCAAGGCUAAGACGGGUAGCUGGUCUGAGAGGACGACCAGCCACACUGGAACUGAGACACGGUCCAGACACCUACGGGUGGCAGCAGUCGAGAAUUUUUUACAAUGGGCGAAAGCCUGAUGGAGCGACGCCGCGUGGGGGAUGAAUGGCUUCGGCCCGUAAACCCCUGUCAUUUGCGAUCAACCGUUGUUAUUUAAAAGAUGACAACCUGAUAGUAGCGGAAGAGGAAGGGACGGCUAACUCUGUGC
rnacentral:rRNA from 1 species